UUAGGAUGCUGCAGAUAUUUUACGAAUGACAAUUUCAAGGCAGAGUGUAAGGAACUGUUAAAUUUUGGUCAAUAUAUAUAUAAGUGAUAAUGCUUGUAUACGUGUCUAAAAUACACAAGAAUAAUCCUAUAUUGUAGGAUUAUUUAAAAAGAAAAAAGAAGAGCAUUUAAAUAUAAUAAUAUUUUAAUAAUAGCAAAUAUAAUGAACAAAAAGAAGUAUAGAAAAUAUUUAUUAAUAAUAAGGAUAUUCUCUCUUUAAUUCGUGAUGGAUUAAAAUACAUAUCGUAAAAGGAAAAUUG